rnacentral:rRNA from 1 species
CUACGGGGGGCUCCAGUGAGGAAUAUUGCACAAUGGGGGGAACCCUGAUGCAGCAACGCCGCGUGGAGGAUGACGCAUUUCGGUGUGUAAACUCCUUUUAUAUGUCAAGAAAAUGACGGUAGCAUAUGAAUAAGCACCGGCUAACUCCGUGCCAGCAGCCGCGGUAAUACGGAGGGUGCAAGCGUGUACUCGGAAUCACUGGGCGUAAAGGACGCGUAGGCGGGUUGGAAAGUCAGGUGUGAAAUCCUACAGCUUAACUGUAGAACUGCACUUGAAACUUCUAAUCUAGAGUAUGGGAGGGGGGGAUGGAAUUAGUGGUGUAGGGGUAAAAUCCGUAGAUAUCACUAGGAAUACCUAAAGCGAAGGCGAUCUCCUGGAACAUUACUGACGCUAAGGCGUGAAAGCGUGGGGAGCAAACAGGAUUAGAUACCCCAGUAGUC